rnacentral:rRNA from 1 species
AGUGAACGCUGGCGGUAGGCCUAACACAUGCAAGUCGAACGGCAGCACAGUAAGAGCUUGCUCUUACGGGUGGCGAGUGGCGGACGGGUGAGGAAUACAUCGGAAUCUACUUUUUCGUGGGGGAUAACGUAGGGAAACUUACGCUAAUACCGCAUACGACCUACGGGUGAAAGCAGGGGAUCUUCGGACCUUGCGCGAUUGAAUGAGCCGAUGUCGGAUUAGCUAGUUGGCGGGGUAAAGGCCCACCAAGGCGACGAUCCGUAGCUGGUCUGAGAGGAUGAUCAGCCACACUGGAACUGAGACACGGUCCAGACUCCUACGGGAGGCAGCAGUGGGGAAUAUUGGACAAUGGGCGCAAGCCUGAUCCAGCCAUACCGCGUGGGUGAAGAAGGCCUUCGGGUUGUAAAGCCCUUUUGUUGGGAAAGUAAAGCAGCAGGUUAAUACCCCGCUGCUCUGACGGUACCCAAAGAAUAAGCACCGGCUAACUUCGUG